UUAGAUCUCAGUAGUUACAAAAUAGUCUCAUUAAGGUCAAGAAAGUAGUAUUCAAUCAGUUUUCACGAUCAGCGUGAGUUCAGUCAAGCCAGUCCAAUAAUGAUCAGUUCCAGUGUCAUUUCAGUUGGGAGUACGAUUCAGCAUCAAGCGAACCCAGGGAUGGGGGUACUCCUAUCGUCCUAGGAUUUAACCCUUAGUAACAAUCCCUGAGUUACAGAACUACAUAGCCAGUGUAGGGUAAGUCAUCC
rnacentral:lncRNA from 1 species